rnacentral:rRNA from 1 species
GACGAACGCUGGCGGCGCGCUUAACACAUGCAAGUCGAACGGAAAGGCCUGCUUUCCCUUGUGGAUUGCGGGUACUCGAGUGGCGAACGGGUGAGUAACACGUGAGUGAUCUGCCCCCAACUUGGGUAUAAGCCUGGGAAACUGGGUCUAAUUCCCGAUAGGACUGCAGGGUGGUGCCUGUGGUGGAAAACGAUUUUCUAGUGGUUGGGGAUGAGCUCGCGGCCUAUCAGCUUGUUGGUGGGGUAAUGGCCUACCAAGGCGGCGACGGGUAGCCGGCCUGAGAGGGGGGACGGCCAGAUUGGGACUGAGAUACGGCCCAGACUCCUACGGGAGGCAGCAGUGGGGAAUAUUGCACAAUGGGCGGAAGCCUGAUGCAGCGACGGCGCGUGGGGGAUGACGGCCUUCGGGUUGUAAACUCCUUUCGACCGCGAGGAAGCCACCUGGUUGGAAGGGUGGUGACGGUAGUGGUAGAAGAAGCACCGGCUAACUACGUG